AGGAUUAUAGUUUAAUUAAAACUUUUGAUUUGCAUUCAAAUAAUAUUGGCUUAUUCAAUUUAUCUUA
rnacentral:tRNA from 1 species